rnacentral:tRNA from 4 species
GGGGCGGUAGCUCAGUUGGGAGAGCGCAGCGUUCGCAAUGCUGAGGUCGGGGGUUCGACUCCCCUCCGCUCCA